rnacentral:rRNA from 1 species
UACGGAGGAUCCGAGCGUUAUCCGGAUUUAUUGGGGUUAAAGGGUGCGUAGGCGGCCUUUUAAGUCAGGGGUGAAAGACGGUAGCUUAACUAUCGCAGUGCCUUUGAUACUGAUAGGCUUGAAUGUACUUGAGGUAGGCGGAAUGUGACAAGUAGCGGUGAAAUGCAUAGAUAUGUCACAGAACACCAAUUGCGAAGGCAGCUUACUAAAGUAUGAUUGACGCUGAGGCACGAAAGCGUGGGGAUCAAACAGG